UUCAGUCUACUCACUGAAAGCCACCAUGAAGGAGCAGUUGGGGGUUUUGUUUGUGUACUUUUUGUGUUUGUAUGGAAGUCUGAGCAGUGGAGCAGCAGUGAAUGGAGAUUUUCCACAAGUCCUGAAGAACAGCAAGCUGAACAAACAGGAUGUUCGAGUCAGUCUGAAUGUUCCAGGCCACACUGGGAUGACAGUGUCUGGAAACAGUUAUCAGAAAGUCUGGCAGACCUUUGGGGUCCAGAACAGAGUGGAACGAGAUGCUUUCCUUACUGAAUCAUUCCCCAUUGGAUUCAAAUGGGCCACCUCAAGUGAGUCCUUCAAGGUUGAAGGUGCCUGGAAAGCAGGGGGGAAGGGAGAGUCCAUCUGGGACCAUUUCGGCCAUGAAGGCCUAGCCUUUGCAAAUCAGACGGCUGACUUAGCUUGUGACAGUUACAACAAGGUGGAUUACGAUCUCUACCACCUGCGAGGUCUUCAAGUCAACACCUACCAGUUUUCCAUCUCCUGGGCCCGUAUUUUCCCUUCAGGCCUCCGGGGCAGUCAAUCAGAGAAAGGGGCUCUCUACUAUGACAAGCUGAUCAAUGCUCUCAUUGAAUCUGGCAUAGAGCCUGUUGUCACUCUCUACCACUGGGAUCUGCCUCAGGCUCUCCAGGUCAGUGGUGGAUGGAAAAACACUGCCAUCAUUGAAGCCUUCAAAGACUAUGCAGACUUCUGCUUCUCCAGAUUUGGAGACAGGGUCAAGACCUGGAACACAUUCAGCAGCCCUUGGGUGGAGAGUUAUGCUGGGUAUGGCACUGGUGAGCAUGCCCCCAGCAUAAAGGAUUAUGCUGUUUCGUCUUAUCAGGUCACUCACAAUAUGCUCAAGUCCCAUGCUGAGGCCUGGCAUGUCUACAAUGACAAGUAUAGAAGCACUCAAGGUGGGAAAGUGGGCAUUGCACUGAACUCUGACUGGGCUGAGCCAAAGGACGUGUCCAGACCUGAAGACAUAGCAGCUGCUGAUCUCUACCUGCAGUUCAUGCUGGGCUGGUUUGCACAUCCCAUAUUUGUAAAUGGAGAUUAUCCACCAACACUCAAAGCACAGGUUGAAAAGAAAAGAAAUGAGUGUCCAGCCUCUGUGGCUCCAGUACUUCCAGUAUUUAGUUCCGCAGAGAGUCAGAGGAUAAAGGGUUCUGCUGACUUUUUUGGAUUAAACCAUUAUACUUCUCGUUUGGUCAGAAUCAGUAAUGGUGGGUGUGCUGCUAGUCUUCAGGGUGUUGGUGACUUCCGUGCAGAGGUGGACUCCUCAUGGCCUUCUACAGCUUCUGACUAUAUCUAUUCUGUACCAUGGGGACUUAGAAGGCUCCUAAACUACAUUUCCAAAGAAUAUCUAAAUGUUAAGAAAGUCCCUAUUUACAUAACUGGGAAUGGGAUGCCAACAGCAUACAGUGGGGACAGCCUGAAUGACACCAGCAGAAUUGAGUACAUGAAGAGUUACAUCAAUGAGGCCCUGAAAGCAAUUAUCACUGAUGAAGUGGAUGUUCAGCGAUUCACAGUGCAGUCACUCAUGGAUGGAUUUGAAGGAAAACAAGGCUACAGCCAGAGAUUUGGUCUUCACUAUGUCAACUUUGAAGUUCCAGACAGACCAAGACUCCCAAAGCAAUCAGCCUAUUUCUACAACCAGCUGAUCAAGAAAAAUGGUUUUCGUUCACUCAAAUCUAAAGUUUUCAAAGGGGUAGAAAUGCCACUUACCCACCGUUCAGCAGGUUUACCAGCAUCAGAGGUUCCAGCUAAAUCAAAGACCGUCUUCGAGAAGUUCUCACGUCAGUCAAAAUUCCAGAGAUCAGUGUAUCACUAUGGCAGUUUCCCACAAGGCUUCAGUUGGGGAGUUUCAUCUUCAGCCUAUCAAAUUGAAGGUGGAUGGAACGCAGAUGGGAAGGGGCCCAGUGUCUGGGAUGUCUACACUCACACACCUGGCAGUGUUGCUGGUGAUGCUAAUGGAGAUGUAGCCUGUGAUAGUUACAACAGACUUGAUGAAGACCUGUACAUGCUGCGAGCUAUGGAGGUGAAGUCUUACAGAUUCUCUUUAUCCUGGUCCAGGAUCUUUCCUAAUGGUAACCGUUCCUCCCUGAACCAGAAAGGUGUUGACUACUACAAUAGACUCAUUGAUGGCCUCUUAGAAUCCAAAAUCACCCCCAUGGUGACACUUUAUCACUGGGACCUCCCACAGGCUUUGCAAGACAUUGGUGGAUGGGAAAAGGUUCAAUUGAUUGACAUUUUUAAUGACUAUAGUGACUUCUGCUUCGCUACGUUUGGCGACAGAGUGAAAUUUUGGAUGACCUUCAACCAGCCUCACACAAUUGCGUGGUCAGGUUAUGGAAUUGGAGAGAUCCCACCAAAUGUUAAACAACCAGGCACUGCUCCGUACAGAGUUGCACACAACCUGAUCAAAGCGCAUGCCGAGGCCUACCAUACGUACAAUGACAAGUAUCGCAAUUCCCAACGUGGUUUGGUUUCCAUUGCCCUCAAUGCUGAUUGGGUUGAACCUAGAGAUGUCAACGAUAUCCGAGAAGUGGCGGCUGCUGACCGUGCAUUACAGUUCCAACUGGGUUGGUUUGCACACCCCAUUUUCAAGAAUGGUGACUAUCCUGAGACAAUGAAGUGGCAAGUUGCAAACAAAAGUCGGCUCAUAGGUCUUUCAGAGUCAAGGCUACCUUCCUUCACUGAAGAAGAGAAGAAAUUCAUCAAGGGAACUGCUGACAUGUUCUGUGUAAAUCAUUACACGACAGUGAUAGCAAGCCACAUUACAGCUCCAUUUAGGCCUCCAUCCUAUGAAAAUGACUGGGACUUUUCACUAGCAGAGGAUGUGGAUUCGCCAACUACAUCCUAUCCGAACCAAAGAGCUGUAUCGUGGGGCUUGAGAAGACUCCUUAACUGGAUCAAAGAAGAGUAUGGAGAUCCAGACAUUUACAUUACUGAGAGUGGAAUGGCUUCAGCCUAUUCCGUCCCCUGGGACGAUAUUGACAGAGUGUUUUAUUACAAGACCUAUGUCGACGAGGCUCUCAAAGCCUCUCAAGUUGAUGGUGUGAAGGUGAAGGGAUACAUGGCAACAUCACUUAUGGAUGCUUUCGAGUGGCGGAGGGGAUACACCUUUCAAUUUGGUCUGCAUCAUGUGGACUUCAAUAACCCAAACCGGCCAAGGUCACCCAAGUUCUCUGCUCAUUACUACUACCACAUCAUGAAAGAUAACGGUUUCCCUAACAAUUUAGAGGAGAAGAUUUACGGUCAUUUCCCAGAUGAUUUCAUUUGGGGUACUGCUACAGCUGCAUACCAGAUUGAAGGGGCUUGGAGAGCAGAUGGAAAAGGUUUCAGCAUCUGGGACAAGUUUGCUCACACUCCAGGGAAAAUGGCGAAUCAUGAUUCCGGGGACUUGGCCUGUGACAGUUACCAUAGAAUAGAAGAUGAUAUUAAGUUAUUGAAGCACCUUAAGGUGUCCCAUUAUCGUCUCUCCAUAUCCUGGCCAAGGGUACUUCCUGAUGGCACCACCAAACACAUUAAUGAGGCUGGAAUCAACUACUACCAUCGAGUGUUGGAUGCUCUGCUUGCUGCAAAUAUCCAGCCAUGUGUCACUCUGUACCAUUGGGACCUUCCGCAAGCUCUGGAAAAAGUAGGGGGCUGGGAGAAUGAGACUAUUGUUGACAGAUUCAAGGAAUAUGCUGACCUAAUGUUUAGCCGUCUGGGCCCCAAAGUGAAAGUUUGGAUCACCAUAAAUGAGCCAUUCAAUGUAGCCUAUAUAGGCUAUGGCAUUGGAAUUGCUGCCCCAGGGUACACUGACCGACCAGGCACUCUGCCCUACAUUGUUGGUCACAACAUUAUUAAAGCACAUGCUGAGGCUUGGCAUGUCUACAAUGACAAAUACCGGGCCCAACAGAAAGGCAUGAUCUCCAUUUCCGUUAACUCUGACUGGUCAGAACCCAGGAAUCCCUAUAAGCAGGAAGAUAUUGAUGCAGCUGAACGUGUACUGCAGUUCUUCAUUGGGUGGUUUUCCCAUCCCAUAUUUAAAGGUGACUACAGUGAGAUGAUGAGGACAAUCGUUCGAGAACGGAGUCUGGCUGCUGGUCUACCACAAUCCCGACUGCCUGAGUUUACUCCGGAGGAGAUCAGGAGAAUCAACGGCACCUAUGAUUAUUUUGGAUUCAACCAUUACACCAGUGUCCUAGCAUUCAAUGUGGACCAUGGAAACAAUCAGCACUACGAGGCAGACAAGGGUGCAGCAGUAAUGUCUGAUCGUACCUGGCUGGAAGCAGGUUCGCCCUGGUUGAGAGUUGCACCAUUUGGAUUCCGUAGGAUACUGAGGUUCAUCAAGGAAGAGUAUGGAAAUCCACCACUCCUUGUAACAGAGAAUGGAGUGUCAGAGCAUGGCCCUGUUGACCUAAAUGAUACUCACAGGAUCUACUACUAUGACAAAUACAUCAACGAGGCACUGAAAGCUUACAAGCUGGAUGGAGUGAAUCUUAUUGGUUACACUGCUUGGUCAAUGAUGGACAACCUGGAGUGGAACGCUGGCUAUACAGAAACAUUUGGCCUUUUCUACGUCAACCGCUCAGACCCUACACUUCCUCGGAUGCCCAAGGCCUCAGCAUCAUUUUAUAUCAACAUGGUAAAAUGCAACGGAUUCCCAGACCCUGCCUUAGGACCCCAUGAGUGCUUGAACAAUUAGACUGAAGGAAAAAAUUAAGGCAGUGACUAGCACAACUGUGAAGCCUGAGACUGAAGGAACAAGAGAACUCAUCAGUGACAUUGCUGUGAGGUUCCUGGAUAUGAAGCUCUUCACCAGCAAUGCUCUACUGAUUGUCACAGUGGUGGGAAUUCAUCUUCGGGGCAAAAAAAAAAAAAAAAAAGGAAAAAAACAGGAUAAGUAAAAAGAGAAUUUUAACAAUAUAAGCUUGAAGAAAAUAUUUGGUGAACAAACUCAGGUGUAAUAGAAGUCCUUAUCAUAGACAAACAUAUAACCAAUUUAAGUGAAGGCUUUCACAGGCUACUUACGACAUUGUAUUUAUUGGAUAUGUUUAACUUAUUUGGUGGGCAUCAUCUGCAUUACAUUGUGAAACAAAAGACAUUGAACCACAUGUCCAAGUGUGUUGUGACUCACUGAAGUCUGCCAUCUGUUGUGCUAUUGAUCAUUACCAUUUAUUUUCUGUCAGUGACCCAGUUUCUUGUGUGUUGUGUGUGUGAAACUUGAAUGUGUUCAUUCAAGUUUAAAUAUAAUUGCGUUGUUUAGAUUAAAAUCAUAUUUAAAUAAAAAUAUAUAAAAACAUAUAUAAAAUAAAUAAACAGCUGGAACAAGGGGACUUGUAGAGUUUCUUGAAGAUUUUUUACCACUCAGCCAAGAAGCCUCUUCAGUUCUGAUACACAUGGUGUCUCCAGAAGCUCCUCUUUAACCUGGACCUGUGGGGUGUAGAAGUUGCUCAAUGCCACUAGAAGUCACUGUACCAUUACUUCUGAACACCUGAGAACCUGCCUUAUAAUUUAGGUUUAGGAUUAUUUCAUGAUGGUAGGCUAUGUGAAUUUAUGAUGGUAUGCAUAUGUGAUAUAUAAAGUGUUUUUCAUCUGUCUAGGCAAUAAGUUAACAAUUUCAAGAUAUUGCAACUUUAAAUGUGGAGGAUGUUAAGGAGUUUCUGAUCUUUAAUGUCUAAAUUGAUUUUCACGUUUUGUGUGUGAAGCUGUAAGUCAUAGAUAACAAAACAAGAAUCAUAUACUGAUGCACUGUAUUACUGAUAAUUAAUAAUCACAUAACAUGUUUCCUGUGAUAAUUCUUAAGUACAGUAUCAUGUCUCAGUGGUGUUCAUUAGUUAGUGUUUACUACAUUACAACAUUUUCUCAACAAAUUAGCUUCUAACUAGUAUUAUGUGACAUUAUCCAGAUCAUGGGACACCACUUUGACAGGAGUGUAUUUGAACCUGUUCUCAUUUUUAUGAGUUUAAGUUGAACUUGGAUUUAAUCUGCAAAGUACCAGAUUGGAAAAUGUAUUACCUUAUCCAAAAUAAAGAUUAUGCUGUAUGAUAUUCUCCAAAAAA